rnacentral:lncRNA from 1 species
GCCUUACGUGGGAGAGAGAGGCUGGUAGUACUUAAGCAGUAGGCUCUCUUUUAUGUUUUCGGUAUGGGACUUUCGGGCUCGAAGCCCCCGAUACCCAUCCCACAACAGCCCCCCUGCAAGGGAACGUACUGCUGCAGGUAGGGGACGGGUUCCCACAGACGGUGCCAUUCCGUCGAGAUCUACUGUCCAGUCGUACCAACCCAUCACCUCCACCCAAUC